GUCUGUAUGUGUGUGGGUGUAUUUGGGAGACACACAUACAUAGAAUUGAUUUCACCCUCCAAAGUCCUUGAAAUGAGAUUGGCUGACAGCUCAGGUCCACAGAACAGGAGAAGGCCAUACUGUUAAUAGUCUGUCAUCCUUUACUUACCUACAAAUGCCAUGACUCUUCAAGGUAGUUGUAGAACCAACUGGCUAUAUUGACCAACCAGCUAAAAAUAACUGGCUAUAAUGACCAGUUAAUAAGACUUAGAAAUUAAGCAGCCAACAAUGUGCCAGGCAACAGACUAAGCAUUGGGGGUUCAAAGAAAGCAAAAAAAAAAGAGUCCCUGCCCUCAAGGGGCUCAUAUUCAAACGGGGGAGACAAAAGCCCAAGAUCCUGAAUGUAAUCAUGAAUCUAGUUGGUGUCUCCUAGAAGGAACUUUGAGGUGUCUCUGCUCAUACCCCAAAUUCUAAGCCUCAAUCAAAAUUCUCUGAGGCCCCAAGACCAGUGACGAGAUGGUCUGCUGUCAUCCUAGGCUAGCUUCCCCCCAAUUUUGGAAAGUGCCUAGGAGAGGAAUUGUUUCUAAGUUCCACCAGUAAAGUUAAUGGACUCAAGGAGGCAGGGCCAACCCUGAAUGGAGUGGAAAGGGCAGUCAUCCACAGGAGUGAUUUGAAGGAUUCCACAGCUGCUUGCCAUCUGAUUGUUAUUACCACUGCCUCUCCCCUGCAUUAAUCAGACUUGAACUUUUCACCAUUAGAGUCCCUAAUGUGGUAAACAGCUAGAGGGGAAGGGGCAGCUAAGUGGUUUAGUGGAUAAAGAGGUAGACUUAGAGAUGGGAGGUCCUGGGUUCAAAUCAUAUACUGCCUAGCUGGUUGAUUCUAGCUCAUUUGACAGAAGAAACCGAGACAGAGUGAAGUGACUUGCCCACAGUCACACAGCCAUUUUACAGAUGAAGAAGCCUGAGGUUCAGAGUGAUGAAGGACAAGACCUGAAAGCCUGGUCUUCUAUGGAGAACUCAAGAUGGCCCUGGGGGAGGAAGAAGAAAUGUCUCCUUGGAAGCUGCCUUUGGCAAAAAAAUAAAAAAAUAAAAAUAUGGGAGCCUGGAGAUGGAAGAAGGAGACGUGCCUUUCAUCCUGGCUUCUUUACUUUCUGUCUUCAAAUGAGAAAAAGAGGAGUCUAUGGGAAAAGUCCCCAAAGGGUGAUGCUGGGGAGGUCAUUGGUGGCUUGACUAUGACUCCUCUUCCUGACUAUUCGGUUUCUGUCUGUGAUUUUCCAGGCUAAAUACCCUGGAGUCCUUUUCUCUCUAGAGCUCCUGCCUUUUCUCCCAAAUGGCUUUGUAUUUAAUUACUUUACAUUGAUCUGUAUUUAUUUUCUUCAUAUUAUGCAUAUACAAAUAUACAUAUACACACACUUGUUCACUGAUAAAAAUACAAGCUCCUUGAGGGUA
rnacentral:lncRNA from 1 species